UAAAGGGGCACUAGCUGUCAAAUUCAUGGUCACCGAUUUUACUCAAAUUCUCAUAUUUGAUUUAUAACAAUGUAAAACAUUUAUCCAAACUAUCAAAAGUCUAAAAUGAACAGUUUACAGAGCAUGGGGUAGAUAAUAUAUAGGUUCGUUUCGUUUGUAUUUUAGUCCAGACGCCAUCUAAUUACCUACCGAUUUGACCUCAGAUGACCAUAUAAGCGAUGUAAACACAAAUAAAGAUAAGAAUAGAUUAAACCAGCAC
rnacentral:lncRNA from 1 species